rnacentral:misc_RNA from 1 species
GAUGAAGAACGCAGUGAAAUGCGAUAAGUAAUGUGAAUUGCAGAAUUCAGUGAAUCAUCGAAUCUUUGAACGCACAUUGCGCCCGCCAGCACUCUGGCGGGCAUGCCUGUUCGAGCGUCAUUUCAACCAUCAAGCCCCCAGGGGCUUGUGCUGGGGCCCUGCGGCUGCCCGCAGGCCCUGAAAACCAGUGGCGGGCUCGCUAGUCACACCGAGCGCAGUAGCACAUCUCGCUCAGGGCGUGCGGCGGGCUCCUGCCGUGAAACCCCCCACUGUAACCCCAAAGGUUGACCUCGGAUCAGGUAGGAAUACCCGCUGAACUUAAGCAUAUCUAAGCGGAGGA